rnacentral:lncRNA from 1 species
CUGAAAUUUUUUAUUCCUGAAAUUUAAUUCAUGUUAGGUUCAAGAUGUGCCAAAUCGAUAGAAAUUGCAGAUAGCUUUGGUGGUUCACAUUUGGAAUAGAUUAUAGAGAACACUCUCUGGGAAGGUGAAAUGGUGUUCACUUCUCAGAAAGAGGCUCUGUGUUGCAAAGGGAUGCACAGUUUCCGUGAAUUAUCCUAAUCAGCACUUCAGGCAAGUCAGCUGUAAAACACACUGGACUUCAUGAAGCUCUGAGCCAACUUGUGGCCAGUAGGCACUAAGGUCAGAGACACAUAUGGAAAAGCACAUGAUGAAGCCUCUGGUAUUGGAGUAGUGCCUACAGCCCUGCCCAAGGCCUGGAUAUGGGGAUUGAAGGCAAAGAAGAUCAUGGUUCUGGAGCUCACGUUGAGGAAAUGGACCUCACUCAGGGAAUGGGGCACAUUAGAGAAGGUAAAACACAUACUGUACUUACAGCAGAAGUGAAGGGCUUCAGGAAGUUCUCUUUGCUUUGCUGAGUUCAUUUGUGAAUUCUUUUGCACUGCUUCUUCCUGUCUUUGGCAAUUGAAGGAGACUAGGUUUUCCUUGAUUUGACCUGUCACCCCAUUUCUGUGCUGUUACCUUCAAUGUUUUUAGUGUUUACCUUUCUAACCCCAGCUAUCUUGGUUUGUUU